rnacentral:sRNA from 1 species
AAAAACCAAAACAACGAAAGCCCUGCCUCUCUUUCAUCCUUACGGCUCCUAGGCCGUGCCAGUAUGAAUCAGUUGUUUGGAUAAACC